UCCAGAUAGACCAGAAUAAGCUGAUCAGGGUGGUAUUGAAGGUGAGUCCACGUACUCCCAUAGGUAGGAGCUGCUUUCAGGAACUAAACUGGCUGCCUGUUGAGGCUGAGGUGUUCCAGAUUAGACUGGGUUUGGUUUACAGGAGUAUUUAUGGUUCUGCCUGUUGAGGCUGAGGUGUUCCAGAUUAGACUCGGUUUGGUUUACAGGAGUAUUUAUGGUUCUGCCUGUUGAGGCUGAGGUGUUCCAGAUUAGACUCGGUUUGGUUUACAGGAGUAUUUAUGGGUCUGCCUGUUGAGGCUGAGGUGUUCCAGAUUAGACUCGGUUUGGUUUACAGGAGUAUUUAUGGGUCUGCCUGUUGAGGCUGAGGUGUUCCAGAUUAGACUCGGUUUGGUUUACAGGAGUAUUUAUGGGUCUGCCUUUUGAGGUGUUCCAGAUUAGACUCGGUUUGGUUUACAGGAGUAUUUAUGGUUCUGCCUGUUGAGGCUGAGGUGUUCCAGAUUAGACUGGGUUUGGUUUACAGGAGUAUUUAUGGUUCUGCCAGUUGAGGCUGAGGUGUUCCAGAUUAGACUCGGUUUGGUUUACAGGAGUAUUUAUGGGUCUGCCUGUUGAGGCUGAGGUGUUCCAGAUUAGACUCGGUUUGGUUUACAGGAGUAUUUAUGGGUCUGCCUGUUGAGGCUGAGGUGUUCCAGAUUAGACUGGGUUUGGUUUACAGGAAUAUUUAUGGGUCUGCCUGUUGAGGCUGAGGUGUUCCAGAUUAGACUCGGUUUGGUUUACAGGAGUAUUUAUGGGUCUGCCUGUUGAGGCUGAGGUGUUCCAGAUUAGACUGGGUUUGGUUUACAGGAAUAUUUAUGGGUCUGCCUGUUGAGGCUGAGGUGUUCCAGAUUAGACUCGGUUUGGUUUACAGGAGUAUUUAUGGGUCUGCCUGUUGAGGCUGAGGUGUUCCAGAUUAGACUCGGUUUGGUUUACAGGAGUAUUUAUGGUUCUGCCUGUUGAGGCUGAGGUGUUCCAGAUUAGACUGGGUUUGGUUUACAGGAGUAUUUAUGGUUAUGCCUGUUGAGGCUGAGGUGUUCCAGAUUAGACUGGGUUUGGUUUACAGGAAUAUUUAUGGUCCUGCUCCCAGAUAUCUAAGUGAUUACUUUCCUUGUGUUAGGGAUGCACAUAAUCACAGCACCAGAUCAGGUGUUGUUAAUGUGUGCUUCUACAGGUUCAGGAGUAAUGCUGGGAAAGGUACUUUCUUGUAUACUGGAGCCUCAGAAUGAAAUGAGUUGCCUCUGCCCACAAAAACGACGUCCUCUCUGGGCAGCUUUAAAAAUAAAGUAAAAAUAUGUUUGAUGUCUUCUGUGCCCAUAUGAAUAACCCCUAUGAUGAAACGACAAUGAUGAGAUAGAUGUUCUUCUUCUUUGUUUUUAUGUUUUAUUAUCUCAAUACCACACUGUGUUUAUCUGUGUUCAAUGUUGUCUAGCCAUCUUGUCUCAAGAGGACCACAAUGGAAAUAAGUCCCAGACUUUAUUGUGUGUCAUCCUCCAUGAUUUUACUCAAGUGCAUGUAUGGCUUUUUAAGUUUUAUGUGUGCUUGUUUUUUAAAAUGGUCG